AGUUGUCACUUUUUAGUUAUUGUUACUGUUAUGUUACUGGUCAUAGGAAUUUUGGAGAGUUGAUGGACGAUGGACGGGAUUAGGAAUUUUUGAAGUAGUUGAUAGGCCUAUGUGGUUGUUUACCUUUCUUUGAUUCGACAGAGUUGGAAGUUUUCAAAAAAUAAUAAUCACUGUUAUCAUUGGUUAAGAAAAUAUGAGUAUAGGCUACAUCAGUGAUUUUACGCGGUUACUUUGUUAUUUCCUUCAAAUCGCUAUAGCAGUGGGUAUUUUAACUAAUAAUGUAAUGUAUUCAAGAUAAAUACCUGACACUGAAUUGAACUACACAUUUAGUCGUGGUUAUGUUUUACUGGAGGUGUAUUCAGUAAAACCUGAACUGUACUCCGACAUCGAUACCGUUCCACCCAGUCGAUGGAUGCCACCUGAGUCAGGAGAAAUACACUUUCCUUCCAAACUGGCUCUUGCUGCCACUGGUAGAACGUCACGGAAAAAGUGUAAACAAUGUUCCAUUGAGGGAAGACGAAAGGACAGUUGUUAUUACUGCCCCAAGUGUCCUGGACAGCCGGGAUUUUGCUUACAACCAUGCUUUGUCAAUUUCCACAGCCCCUGGUCAUAUACUUAGAUGUUAAACCAAGUAUUUUUACAUACAUAAUAUUAUUACUAUUUGUUAUGGGUGAAAGUGACUAAUUUUUACUUGGCUAUGGAAAACACUUUUUAAUUCAAGAAAUCAGUUAGCAUUAUUAAUAUAAUAAAGUUUUAAUAAUAAAGGACAUGUUAUAAGUCUUGAGGUUUUUUCUUAUAAUCCGUUAACACAUAAUUUUUGUGUUUUUUUUAACCAUUUAACAUGUAAUUUUUUAUAUUUUACAGUUUGUUUUCAUUCAAUAUAUCAUUAUUUGUUAAUGCAACAUCGAUAUUUUGACAGCUAAAAAUAUGAGUUUUUAAGUUUCCAAAAUAUUAUACAUUAGUAAUAAAUAAGUAAUUUAAUUCAGAACUUUUAUAAUUUUAAACUAAAUGAAAGAUUUGUAUUGUAUGGGUAUUACAAUAUCUUUUAAUAAUAGGAUAUUUUAUCCCCAUUAUUAUCAAAAAUAAAUAUUCAUUAUCAAAUUAAAUUAUGUUUAAUUUCUUAUUAUAGAUAAACCACUCGCAAAAAAAACCUGAGCAGGCACGUGCAGGAGGGGCCCCCUCCAGUGGUGGAGAGUGGGACAAGCAUCUACGCAUCUUUUCAUCUCUUUUAUCAGCUGUGUGGAUCAUGUCUCACUCAUGCCAUUUUGUUUACACUGCAGCUAAUUACUUAUUCUAUAAGUAUAUUGUAAUUUUUUGUGUAGGGACAAGCGUAAAAUAUUAAUUGAACAGACUAAUGUAGCCAUAGACAUAUCCAGGGAGCUUGCGCUUUGUUGUGAGGUUAGCCGCUAAGUGGCAGUGGCCAGGUCAGGGGAUAGAGCAGGCAGGCAAGUGUAGAACAGUGGUGGGAAUACUGGGAGAGAGGGCGACAUCACAGCAUCGGAGGGGUAUAUUACCCCAUCCUAAACUAAAACCGCCCAGUGUCUUGUUGUAAGCGGUUUACCUAUAGCAACAUAUUUACAAUAAUUAUAAUUUAUUAUGAGCACCUGUACUGCAAUAAAAGUCUGUAAGAUUUCAUAUCACAUGCUAAUACAGUGUAACUUGGAUACAAUUCAUUGAACUCUAUCAUUGUGGGGUUCACAUUUGCUAGUUUUUCAUCUUUAGCAAGUAAAAAGCAGAAUUUUGUUCAAUCAAUGUGGAAUAUAAAAAAGCUUUGUUUAUUUCCUAUAACAUAACUUGUUUCACUUUGCCUGUCAUCAUUACAUAUUCCUCAGUUGUAGUAAUGGCUUUGGUGCAAAUUACUUACCUUAAGUAUUUCUAGUGUAUCAAUAUCACAAUUAUAGAACUAAUGCAGUUUCAACACUGAUGUUUAAGAAUUUAUGGUAUAGGUACUAUACAUUUAAUCUAUAAAAGGUUUUUAUAAUUUGUGACACUAAUGCAAGAUUUAACUUAUUUUCCAGCCAACCAGUAAAGUAAGCUCUACUGUGGUUAUAUCAAGAGAGAAAUAUGGAUGGCAGUGACUUCUCUUAGCUUAUAUACUGUAUGUUUAAAAGACUGAAAAAUCAUCUUAUAAAUAGGGCUUCAAACUUUCCUGCAAAUAUCUUUUGCUAAUGAAGAUUUGCUUUCUCAAACAAUUAUAUUAACUUUGGUAAAACUGUGCAUUGUUUAGAACUAAGAAUUUAACAUCUUAAAGAAUUUGUUGAGCCUAAUAACUUCAGUUUUUGCCACAAAUUAGUGACUUGAAUAUUUUUAUAAAUUGCUUUUUCCAGUAGAUUAUGAGCCAUAUCCUGGAACUGUUCCACCUAGUCAAUGGAUGCUACCUGACUCUGAAGAAUUGCAUUUUCCUUCCAAAUUACCACAAUCAGCCAGUGGUAGAAGGCUGCGGAAAAAGUGUAAACAAUGUUCCAUUGAGGGAAGAAGAAAGGACUGUUGUUACUAUUGUCCCAAAUGUCCUGGGCAGCCGGGAUUUUGUGUAGAGCCUUGUUUUGUCAAGUUUCAUAGUUCCUAGUCAUUUUUUAUAAAUUUCUAACUAUUUUUUAUACAAAUACCAUUACUAUCUUGUUAUUGAUGAAAUUGACUAAUUCUAACAUAUGUUUAAAAUAAUAUGUAGGAUGCUUCUUGCAUUUAUGAAAUCAUUAAGGAGAAUGUUGUUUUAAUAAAGGAAGGAUUUU